rnacentral:rRNA from 1 species
GACGAACGCUGGCGGCGUGCUUAACACAUGCAAGUCGAACGGAACUCUUUGGAUAGAGGCUUCGGCCAAUUGAAUCUGAGUUUAGUGGCGGACUGGUGAGUAACGCGUGAGGAACCUGCCUUUCAGAGGGGGACAACAGUUGGAAACGACUGCUAAUACCGCAUGAUGUAUCGAGAUCGCAUGGUUUUGAUACCAAAGAUUCUAUCGCUGAAAGAUGGCCUCGCGUCUGAUUAGCUAGUUGGUGGGGUAACGGCCCACCAAGGCGACGAUCAGUAGCCGGACUGAGAGGUUGACCGGCCACAUUGGGACUGAGAUACGGCCCAGACUCCUACGGGAGGCAGCAGUGGGGAAUAUUGGGCAAUGGACGCAAGUCUGAUCCAGCAACGCCGCGUGAAGGAAGAAGGCUUUCGGGUUGUAAACUUCUUUUAAGGGGGAAGAGUAGAAGACGGUACCCCUUGAAUAAGCCACGGCUAACUACGUGCCAGCCGCCGCAGUAAUAC